AUGAAGCUGAGGCACACACAGAAGACAGUGCAAAUGAAGGGACUCAUGAAGAGUCUCAGUCUGCUCAGUCACCAUCAGAAGAUCAACAGGAAAACAAGGAAGAAGAUGCAGCAACAGGGGUAUAGUAUGCUGUUUGGACAUUUUGCUUUCAGUGUUUGUUUGUGUGCACUUCAUUCCUUUCCAGUCUCAUCAGCGCUCAAAAGUUAGCAAAUUCUUAUUCAUGAAACUGAAUAUACCAGUUAUAUAUUCCGCUAGAGAAAAUUAUUGGUCAUAACAUAGUCAUACUUGGGACCAAAAAUAGGUCAAUAAUCGUUAAAAGCUGUAUAUUGAAGAGAAAUUGUCUUGCAUGGAUUAUUUAAUAAAAUUCACCAGGGGCUCCCAAGACAGCUAGAUCUUUGGAAAUCUCUUACUGCCACCAUGCUAAUUAGGCAAUUCUACCUACAGAGGGUAUAUUUCCCUUGCCAGAGUUCAUAAGGCCCAAGUGCAAAUCCUUAUAUGCUUUUCUGCUUUGCCCAGAAUCAUAAGUUUAUGCGUUGAAUAUUUCCUCAGUCUUCUCAAUAAAGCUAAUUAUUACUUUAGGCCGUUUUCCACUACAAGCUUGUAAUGAGUGAAGGGGCAUGUUUAAUCUUCCCACUUCCAAAUGGCAAUACAUGCAUAUAUACAUGGGUAUACAUACAAAUGCCUCCUGUCAGAGUUGUGAGUUGUGGGUCUGGAAGCUGCAAUGGAGCUCCUGAGCCCACGGGCAGAACGUGGAGGUUUCUGGUGGUGAGGCAGAUGAGGGCUCUGAAGGCUUGGUAGCGCACCCUGACACCACUACCUCGUGCUUCAAGCAAGAAAAAUGCCUGUAUUCUUUUGUAAAGGGUAAUUGAAUUCUGAACUAAAGUUAUUCACAUUUUUAAAUGUUGCUUGUCUUUGGGCUUCCCAAGCUCCAUUUCAAAAACAGUAAAAAAAAAAAAAAGACAAUUUUUCUGAGGAAAGACUCAGAAAGAUAAAAUAUUUCACUGGGAGAACUUUGGCUGACCUGUGUGGAAAUAUAUAUUACAUUUCUGGUUUGGUAAGGAAGAUCCCCUAAUGCAAUAGUUUUUUUCUAAAAACAACUACUCAAAACAGGAUUCUGAUUACAACAGUUCCAAGCACAUGUUUAAACAGGUUUUUACUUAAGUGACUCAGAUACGAUUCUCAUACAGAAAACCCAAGUUCUGUGCUUAUACACUACCGAAAGUCCUGACUGAAAACUAUUUAUGAAAUCUUUAAUUGGUUGAUUGCUAUGGGAGGACUUUUCCUUAAUUUUUGUAAUCAAGAUAGUAGAUGUAAGUAUGACAUUUUUGAGAUAAAACUGUUUAUAUUGCAGAGUAAGUGCCUUUAAGCAAGAGUUUUCUGGAAGAGAAGGAACAGAGAAGACUACAGUGCCAUUUUUGUUAUUUUUUUUUCAGAGUAGAACUAUACUUUAAAGCUUAAUUUGCUAGCUAUUAAAAACAGUAAACACAGACAUAACAUCUGUGUUAUACAAAUGCUACCUUACAGAUGACUGUUCAUUUAGUUUACUGAAGGAAAGGGCUAUUGCCUCUAACUUGUGCCUUUUCUUCUUUAUAAAACAAAGAGAAAAAAAGAACUUUAAAACCAGAAAUAAAGUCUUGUUAUCUGUCUCCAAACAAUUUUUGGAUUAUUU
rnacentral:lncRNA from 1 species